GACGAACGCUGGCGGCGUGCUUAACACAUGCAAGUCGUACGGUAAGGCCCUUUCGGGGGUACACGAGUGGCGAACGGGUGAGUAACACGUGAGUAACCUGCCCACAACUUUGGGAUAACGCUAGGAAACUGGUGCUAAUACUGGAUAUGUGCCCCUGCUGCAUGGUGGGGGUUGGAAAGCUCCGGCGGUUGUGGAUGGACUCGCGGCCUAUCAGCUUGUUGGUGGGGUAGUGGCCUACCAAGGCGGCGACGGGUAGCCGGCCUGAGAGGGUGACCGGCCACAUUGGGACUGAGAUACGGCCCAGACUCCUACGGGAGGCAGCAGGGGGGAAUAUUGCACAAGGGGCGCAAGCCUGAUGCAGCAACGCCGCGGGCGGGAUGACGGCCUUCGGGUUGGAAACCGCUUUCAGCAGGGACGAAGCUUUUUGUGACGGUACCUGCAGAAGAAGCACCGGCUAACUACGUG
rnacentral:rRNA from 1 species